AUUGAACGCUGGCGGCAUGCUUUACACAUGCAAGUCGAACGGUAACAGGCCGCAAGGUGCUGACGAGUGGCGAACGGGUGAGUAAUGCAUCGGAACGUGCCCAGUCGUGGGGGAUAACGCAGCGAAAGCUGCGCUAAUACCGCAUACGAUCUAUGGAUGAAAGCGGGGGACCGUAAGGCCUCGCGCGAUUGGAGCGGCCGAUGUCAGAUUAGGUAGUUGGUGGGGUAAAGGCUCACCAAGCCAACGAUCUGUAGCUGGACUGAGAGGACGACCAGCCACACUGGGACUGAGACACGGCCCAGACUCCUACGGGAGGCAGCAGUGGGGAAUUUUGGGACAAUGGGCGCAAGCCUGAUCCAGCAAUGCCGCGUGCAGGAAGAAGGCCCUCGGGUUGUAAACUGCUUUGUACGGAACGAAAAGGCUCUGGUUAAUACCUGGGGCACAUGACGGUACCGUAAGAAUAAGCACCGGCUAACUACGUGCCAGCAGCCGCGGUAAUC
rnacentral:rRNA from 1 species